AUAUAGUUAAAAACAAUGACACCCCUGGGGCAGGGCCAGUUUUGACCCCCGGGCUUUUAUUUGAACAAACUUUGUAGAUAUUUACUUAAAGAUGUUUCAUGCUUAAUAUCUAAACUCUAGCUAUUUGGGUUUUUUCAAAGAAGAUUUUUAAGCUUUUGCUAUACACAUAUAAGGAAAAUCAAUGACCCCCCCCCCCCCCAGGCGGGGCCAGUUUUGACCCCAGGGCUUUUAUUUGAACAUACUUGGUAGACACCAAUUAGAACAUGUUUCAUGCUAAAUAUCUUAGCUCUAGCUCUUUGAGUUCUUUAAAAGAAGAUUUUUUAAGUUUUUA